rnacentral:ncRNA from 2 species
CCGCACUUGUCGGGGUGCCGGAAACGGCUGAGAUCAGUUUACUGAGACCCGUUGAACCUGAUCAGGCAGCCCUGCCGGGCGGCCCCUGCGUAGGAAACAAGCAUGCAUAUCAG